rnacentral:rRNA from 1 species
AUUGAACGCUGGCGGAAUGCUUUACACAUGCAAGUCGAACGGCAGCACGGACUACGGUCUGGUGGCGAGUGGCGAACGGGUGAGUAAUAUAUCGGAACGUGCCCAGUCGUGGGGGAUAACGUAGUGAAAAUUACGCUAAUACCGCAUACGAUCUAUGGAUGAAAGCGGGGGACCUUUGGGCCUCGCGCGAUUGGAGCGGCCGAUAUCAGAUUAGGUAGUUGGUGGGGUAAAGGCUCACCAAGCCAACGAUCCGUAGCUGGUCUGAGAGGACGACCAGCCACACUGGGACUGAGACACGGCCCAGACUCCUACGGGAGGCAGCAGUGGGGAAUUUUGGACAAUGGACGCAAGUCUGAUCCAGCCAUUCCGCGUGCAGGACGAAGGCCUUCGGGUUGUAAACUGCUUUUGUACAGAACGAAAAGGUUUCUACUAAUACUAGGAGCUCAUGACGGUACUGUAAGAAUAAGCACCGGCUAACUACGUGCCAGCCGCCGCAGUAA